rnacentral:misc_RNA from 1 species
UCCUGGUUAACCCAGGCAGUCUCAUUAAAGUGCCCACCUUAACGUGUUGGCAACUAAUGAUAAGGGUUGCGCUCGUUGCGGGACUUAACCCAACACCUCACGGCACGAGCUGACGACAGCCAUGCAGCACCUGUGCAGCGGCCCCGAAGGGAAAUACUGUUUCCAGUAUCGUCCACUGCAUGUCAAGUCUGGGUAAGGUUCUUCGCGUUGCAUCGAAUUAAACCACAUGCUCCACUGCUUGUGCGGGUCCCCGUCAAUUCUUUUGAGUUUCAGCCUUGCGACUGUACUCCCCAGGCGGUAUACUUAUCGCGUUAGCUUCGGCACAACCAGGGUUGAAUCCAGUUACACCAAGUAUACAUCGUUUACGGCAAGGACUAC